rnacentral:rRNA from 1 species
AGCAGCCGCGGUAAUUCCAGCUCCAAUAGCGUAUAUUAAAGUUGUUGCAGUUAAAAAGCUCGUAGUUGAAUUUCGAGACCGGUUUAUUGGUCGUGCUUUUGUACGUACUGGUAUUAUUGGUUUCUCCUUUCUGACGAAUCUUAAUGCCGUUAAUUUGGUGUUUUGAGGAAUCAGGACUGUUACUUUGAAAAAAUUAGAGUGUUUAAAGCAGGCUCACGCUUGAAUACAUUAGCAUGGAAUAACGGAAUAGGACGUUUGAUUCUAUUUUGUUGGUUUCUAGGAUCGACGUAAUGAUUAAUAGGGAUAGUUGGGGGCAUUAGUAUUCAAUUGUCAGAGGUGAAAUUCUUGGAUUUAUUGAAGACUAACUGCUGCGAAAGCAUUUGCCAAGGA